rnacentral:sRNA from 2 species
ACUCCCAAACCCCUGUGAACAUACCAAUUGUUGCCUCGGCGGAUCAGCCCGCUCCCGGUAAAACGGGACGGCCCGCCAGAGGACCCCUAAACUCUGUUUCUAUAUGUAACUUCUGAGUAAAACCAUAAAUAAAUCAAAACUUUCAACAACGGAUCUCUUGGUUCUGGCAUCGAUGAAGAACGCAGCAAAAUGCGAUAAGUAAUGUGAAUUGCAGAAUUCAGUGAAUCAUCGAAUCUUUGAACGCACAUUGCGCCCGCCAGUAUUCUGGCGGGCAUGCCUGUUCGAGCGUCAUUUCAACCCUCAAGCCCCCGGGUUUGGUGUUGGGGAUCGGCGAGCCCUUGCGGCAAGCCGGCCCCGAAAUCUAGUGGCGGUCUCGCUGCAGCUUCCAUUGCGUAGUAGUAAAACCCUCGCAACUGGUACGCGGCGCGGCCAAGCCGUUAAACCCCCAACUUCUGAAUGUUGACCUCGGAUCAGGUAGGAAUACCCGCUGAACUUAAGCAUAUCAAUAAGCGGAGGAAAAGAAACCAACAGGGAUUGCCCUAGUAACGGCGAGUGAAGCGGCAACAGCUCAAAUUUGAAAUCUGGCUCUCGGGCCCGAGUUGUAAUUUGUAGAGGAUACUUUUGAUGCGGUGCCUUCCGAGUUCCCUGGAACGGGACGCCAUAGAGGGUGAGAGCCCCGUCUGGUUGGAUGCCAAAUCUCUGUAAAGUUCCUUCGACGAGUCGAGUAGUUUGGGAAUGCUGCUCUAAAUGGGAGGUAUAUGUCUUCUAAAGCUAAAUACCGGCCAGAGACCGAUAGCGCACAAGUAGAGUGAUCGAAAGAUGAAAAGCACUUUGAAAAGAGAGUUAAAAAGUACGUGAAAUUGUUGAAAGGGAAGCGUUUAUGACCAGACUUGGGCUUGGUUAAUCAUCUGGGGUUCUCCCCAGUGCACUUUUCCAGUCCAGGCCAGCAUCAGUUUUCCCCGGGGGAUAAAGACUUCGGGAAUGUGGCUCUCUU